UAUUUUAAUAUUGGUAGAUACAUGUUAAUAUAUGAUGACUAAAAGCUUACGUGCCGAGUAAAUCAAUUUAAAGAAAUAUAUAUGCAUGUUUAGUGACUACCUUAAUAUGUUGAAAACACCUAAUUCAUACCUAAUAUAGUUAUUCCUAAUGACAUGUUUAGUUUCUAAAUAUGUAUGUGACACACCCCGUCCCGAAGGAGGGCAUGCUGGCCGUCACAUGAGAGUGACGUAACCAUUUACACAGUUCGGAAGCUUUUAAAAUACAAUUAUUAAAAUGGAAACCCUCGAGGGUGAGUCCUACUUUUGUGAUUUCUGUCAGAAUACCGUUGGAUUCCUUGUGGCCACCAAAACUCUGCUAUCAAGAACCUGGAGGGGCGAAAAACAAAAUUGAGUGGGUCAGUAAAACCAAGCUUUUCAAAAACAUUUCGCCAAAAAUAAUUAUAACCCCUCACUGUAAAACCUGUAUACUUUUCCCAGAAAAUAGUAUAAUAACAUAAUACUUUUCAUAAAUCUCGAAUCAUCAAUUUUUCUUUAAAACCCGAAAGUAAUGCCAUGUUUUAAUUUCGAAAACAAAAAAUAAAAUGAUGCAUCAAUGUAACAGGUGAAAAGUUGAAUUAACCGGAGACCCUGCAGUUGGUCCUGUACGGUUAAUUCCAUAGCUCAACAUCCAAUCCAACCGGAGUCACCUCGAUGACCUGUACGGCACUACACUGCAGAUAAGUCGGAACUACCUGAAGUAGUCUGUACGACAUGGAUGGUGUAAUAAUACGCUCUAGUGCUUCUCUCAUCAAUCAUCUGUGCACAUAAUCUAAGGUCACUCACUAGUCGGAAUCACAUCUAGUAAUCUAUACGACUAGCAUGUCGGAACCCUCACUUGGUCUGUACGACAUCCACCUACUUGGAUCCAAGACGAGCGUGCGGUGUGGUGAAUAAUAUAAGCACUAACACCAUGAUUGCAGGUUAUGAGCUAUCCACAACAUACACAUCAACAAUGCACAUGAAUAAUAUAAAACUCACCUGAUACUUACAUGUGCGUCCACAGCACCAAUUCACAUAUAUAUAUGCAUCAUAUAUCAAUUCAUGCUUUUCAUAUACUUCUAUGCAUGGCAUUUCAAAUCAUACUUUUCAUAUAAAUCUAUCCAUGGCAUUUUAAAUCAUGCUUUCAUUUAAAUUCAAUUUCUGGGGAAACUCAAUAGUAUAUAGGUAAUACGAAAACAAAACUGCCCACUCACCUGGAGUUCGCCCUACAACUCCCUAGCACAACUCAUCAAGGCGUCAUGACGAUCGCCGCCUAGAACAAUAAUCAAAUCCAACCUCAGAAAUCAUAUCGAUAGAAUAUAACUUAUAUAAAAUACGUCACUACAUAGAUUGAUCCGAAAGAUCUGCAACUUAGAUUUUAAAUCCAUAACUUCCAGAGUCCACAAUAUAUCUCUAGGACAACAUCCUGAAAUUUCAUUACCAUCCAACGGUCGGAUCUCCGUCAAUUUCCAAAACUAAGUGACGGUUAACAUUUUAUUUUAUGAACUUACAACUCCAAUUCCGGAAGAUCCGUAACUCGGAUUCCCAAUCCGUAAGUUCCAAUAAUCCUCAAAUAUUACAUAUUACAACGUAUCAAAGUUUGGUGACGAUCCAACGGUCGGAUCGUCAAUUCACAUUUUCACCUAAAUGCGAAAACUAUAAAACGUUAUUUAAAGCACCCUAACCAAUAAUCGUAAUAACUUUCUCAUACGGUGCUCAAAUUGGGUAUAUGAAUAUACCACAUUGACCUACUCGACGUCACGGACGUCGACACAAUUUUUAAAAAUAAUUUUUACUGUGGCACGCGCCCCCACGCGCCAAGGAAGGCACGGGUCCACGCGCGCCCACGCGCACCUUCUUCCUCGCGAGUUCGCCGGACUGGUUUUUCUCCGGUGGCCAGAUUCUGGGCAUUUUUCAAAUGCCUUGUUCUCCUUCGUUUCUCAACCAUUUUCUUCGUAUAAUAUAUCAAUUUAAAGCCCUCAACAUGUAGAAUCACAAUAUACUACUUUUAAGCUUCAAAAACAGCUAAAUCUCACCGGAAAAAUCCAAGCAAAACCGGCCAAACUUAACCCUCGUGAUCCGACGUCCAAAUCCUUCCAACGAAGCACUCCAAGCUUCCUUGGGACCUCACUAAGCUCACUAUGAGCUUGGAUUGUCCUAAAAAUCAACCAACAAAAAGUUCAUGAACAGUGCCAAAAUCGGUGCUUGGGAUUUCGACGUGAAAUCGAAAGAUUUCUUACCUAAAAUGGGUGUGGUUGAGUUCGUAUAGUCCUCACGAGCACGAUGGUACCUUCACAACCUUCGAUCCGUGCUUGUAGGCUUGGUGGUGAGUGUGUCCGUACAAGUCGAGAGUGAAAGAGUGAGAGAAAGCCGUGAGGGAGGAGAGAGGCAGCACGGGGGAAGGAAAGGGUUGAGGUUGACCCGUGUGUGUGUUGUGUGGUCCAACAAAACCCACCAAAAUUCCAAGUCUUUUAAUUCCUUAACCACACAAAAAUACAUACCAAAUUUUAAAUCAACCUUUAAUCCAAUUUAAUUAAUUUUCCAAAAACUUAGGAACCAUGAAAUGUUCAAACAUAUCACACACACGUACCUUAAUACCCGCUAAGGGUAAAUCCGUCAUUUCACAUUCCCGUCAAAUGUAUCUCCGGGACGGGCUGUGACAAUCUUCCCUCCUUAUAGAAUUUCGUCCCCGAAAUUCCCAUAACCAAAUAAACCAUUUAAUACUCGUAGAAUAACCUUGGGUACAUCUCUCUCAUUCGAUCUUCUGUCUCCCAGGUAGCUUCCUCUACGGAAUGGUUCCUCCACAACACCUUCACCAAACUCAUCGUCUUGUUCUUUAGAACCUUAUCUUUCCGAUCAAGUAUCGUCAUCGGCUCCUCUUCGUAACACAAAUCUAGGUUCAACUCUAAGGGUUGCAGAGGGAUCACAUGCGACGGAUUUGUAACAUAAUGUCGAAACUCCGAAACAUGAAACACAUUAUGUACGCUGGACAGCUCUGACGGCAAUUCAAGCCUGUAAACAUCUUCACCGACCCGUUCGGUGAUCAGAUAAGGUCCGGUGUACCUAGGACUCAACUUACCUUUCUUUCCAAAUCGAACAACACCUCGCCACGGUGAUAACUUCAUAAAUAUCCAAUCACUUACCUUGUACACUCGAUCAGUGGCAUGUUUGUCUGUUAAACUUUUCUGGCGAUCUCAGGCCGCUUUCCAAGUUAAAAUUAAUCACUCGAACAUUCCAAGUAGACUCAUUCAUAACCUCAGGGCCCGCAAGAACCCUUUUAACCACUUCUGCCCAACACAAAGGUGUGCUACAAUCUUUACCAAAAAGUGCCUCAAAUGGUUUCAUACCCAUGCUCGAACGAACGCUAUAGAUGUAGGCAAUUCCCCUCAAAUCCAACCGCUUAAUCUAAGCGUCACCAACUGCAAUACUGAAAAUCUCAGCAUAUCUUCCAAAGUCUGGAUAGUGCUCUCUGAUUAACCAUCUAUUUGAGGGCGAUAAGUUGUACUAUAAGGUAACUUGGUAACCAAGCUUCAUGUACGCUAUCCAAAACUUAGAAGUAACCAACAUACCUAAAAAGCUUAACAGUGUACAUCGUCAAAAUUGCUUUCUUUAAUUCCACAUAAUUUGGCACAUACGUCCCAUUCUCUUGCAUAAACAUACCAUCCAAUUCUGCCUCGGUUAAUUCUUGAAUUCCUUCGUCAAUUUUAUGGGCAACAAGUAUACAAUCAACUAAAAUUGGCCUAACCUGAAAAUUAGUCAAUAAAGCUUCUUCUCAACUUUUACCUUAAGUUUCACUCCAGGAUCCCAAAUCCGCAAGAAGGGAAAACACAACAAGCAUACAAAGCAUUAAUUCUUACUGGAGCCUUCCUAUCAAGUGCAUCAGUCGCAACAAUUUCACGAUCACCCUGGUCGUGCAAUCAUAAUUAUUUAGUAACUCAAUCUGCCUUUGUUGCCUAAGAUUAGAAUACCUCCGAGUAAGCAGACAUUGGAGACUCAUUUGAUUCAUAAAAAUCUUACACUUUUCACUAUAAAAGUAAUGUCUCCAAAACUUCCAAGUAAAGAUGAUUGCUACUAACUCCAAAUUGAGUAGAGUAAUUCAUUUCAUGAAGUUUCAAUUGCCGUGAAGCAUAGGCAAUCUCCCUACCUUGCUGCAUUAACACUUAUCCAAGACCAACCAAAGAAGCAUCAAUAAAGACCUCAUAAUUACCGCUAUCUUCUGGGAGUGCUAAAAUACGCGUAUGAGUGAGGAAAUACUUCAACUGUUGAAACAUUUGCGCACAAUUAUCCUCCCACUCCAACAUAACCUCUGUUCUCGUCAAUCUCGUCAAUGGCAAAGCAAUGACUGAGAAAUCUUUCACGAACCAUCCACGAUAGCCUGCCAAACUAAGAAAACUUUGAAUCUCAAUCACAGUUCGUGGUUGUUCCAAAUUCUCAAUUUCCGCUACCUUUUAAAAAUUCACUUGAAUACCUUUAGCAAAUAUAACUUAUCUCCUAAAUGUUUCUUGAUUCAUCCAACAUUGGCAUUUGCUAAACUUAGCAUACAAUCGACAUUCCCUCAAACUUUGUAACAUCAACUUAAAAUAUCUAACAUGCUCUGCUCUAGGCUUAGAGUAUACCAAAAUAUCGUCAAUGAAAACAAUAACAAACUUAUCAAUGCAUUCCUGGAAUACUUCAUCCAUCAUCUCAUAAAACAGCAAGAGAAUCCAUCAAUCCGAAUAACAUCACUAAAACUCAUAAUGACCGCAACGAGUCCUGAACACAAUCUUAGGAACGUUAUCAUUAACUUUUCAAUCAAUAACAACCAGACCUUAAGUCAAUCUUAGGAAAUACGCAGACCUCUAGGUUGAUCAACAAUCAUCAAUACGCAACAAUGGAUAACGGUUCUUGAUCAUUACCCGAUUCAAUUGCCUAUAAUUAAAACAUAGCCUUAAUGUCCAUUAUCUUCCUCACAAAUAAACUGGUGUUCUCCCAACGUGAUGUACUUUGAAUAAAACCUUUAUCAACUAAUUCAUGUGACCGAAUUUCCAAUUCUCUUAACUCAUCAUAAACCAAUCUCUAGCAUAAAAUUGGUACCUGGAUACAAAUCAACAUUAAACUCUAUAUCUCCGCCCGACGGCAAUCGAGGUAAUUCCUCAGGGAAAACAUCGAGAAAAUGUCUAACCACCUUUACAUUUUCCAAAAUACUAGAAGCACAUCAUUUAGCACCACACGAGCUAAGUAUCCUUGGCAGCCUUUCGAUAACAAUCUCUUUGCUCUCACAGCAUAAAUGAUGGCCUAACUCAAUCCACUUUGCUCAAUCACAAAAGUAACCUUUGAUAAUCCAUAUUGGCAAGAUUAUAACCUAACCAAUAUGUGCUUAAAAUCACAUCGAAAUCCACAAUGUCUAACAGGAUAAGAUUCACUGGCAUAACUACUUCUUCCACCAUCACUGGACACCCUGAAGGUGUAAUAUUAUCAUCUUGUUCUUCAUUAGAAAUACAUAAAUACGCCUCGAUCGUGGUCCAACAUUACUCUAUUUGGCAACAUCGUCCAUAAUAAGAAAUAUAUCAGCCGGAGUCAGCUAGAAUGACCUGUACGGCUUACUCCUCAAUUUUCCAAAUAAUAUGUUCGCCAGAUCCACCUCUUGUGGCCUGUACGACUGGACUUAUAACUCAUCAAUUAUCCCUGUACCCAUCACCAAGCUGACCAAACUACUAAGUCCAUAACCCUGCUGGAUCGAUACUGUGGUGUCAGGGAAGACUGCUGGGUAACAACUGAUUCUAAGGACCAUUCAUACCUCUAUGUCUCAUCCAACCACAUAAACACAUUCACUGAUUCCCACACUCUCCAAAGUGUCUAAUAUUGUACAUACGGUACAAAGGUACAUUUCUCUUAUUCAAAUCACCUUAUCUCUGAGAUCUGGGCUCACCAAUAAAUCUAUCACUUCGCCUCUGACCAGUGGCAUUAAAUCUCAGCUGGAAGAAUUAGUUCCAACUUCACUUCUUUUGAAGCUCUGAGUCUUUCGAUGUACUUGAUAUGACGGAUCUUUAAACUUAUCGUCUUUCCUCUAAUCACCAUUCUUUUCUUAUUCUUCUUUACUCACGCUGAUCAUGUCACUACAUAGAUUGAUCCGAAAGAUCUGCAACUCAGAUUUUAAAUCCAUAACUUCCAGAGUCCACAAUAUAUCUCUAGGACAACAUCCUGAAAUUUCAUUACCAUCCAACGGUCGGAUCUCCGUCAAUUUCCAAAACUAAGUGACGGUUAACAUUUUAUUUUAUGAACUUACAACUCCAAUUCCGGAAGAUCCGUAACUCGGAUUCCCAAUCCGUAAGUUCCAAUAAUCCUCAAAUAUUACAUAUUACAACGUAUCAAAGUUUGGUGACGAUCCAACGGUCGGAUCGUCAAUUCACAUUUUCACCUAAAUGCGAAAACUAUAAAACGUUAUUUAAAGCACCUAACCAAUAAUCGUAAUAACUUUCUCAUACGGUGCUCAAAUUGGGUAUAUGAAUAUACCACAUUGACCUACUCGACGUCACGGACGUCGACAAAUUUUUAAAAUAAUUUUUUACUGUGGCACGCGCCCCCACGCGCCAAGGAAGGCACGGGUCCACGCGCGCCCACGCGCACCUUCUUCCUCGCGAGUUCGCCGGACUGGUUUUUCUCCGGUGGCCGGAUUCUGGGCAUUUUUCAAAUGCCUUGUUCUCCUUCGUUUCUCAACCAUUUUCUUCGUAUAAUAUAUCAAUUUAAAGCCCUCAACAUGUAGAAUCACAAUAUACUACUUUUAAGCUUCAAAAACAACUAAAUCUCACCGGAAAAAAAUCCAAGCAAAAAACCGGCCAAACUUAACCCUCGUGAUCCCGACGUCCAAAUCCUUCCAACGAAGCACUCCAAGCUUCCUUGGGACCUCACUAAGCUCACUAUGAGCUUGGAUUGUCCUAAAAAUCAACCAACAAAAAGUUCAUGAACAGUGCCAAAAUCGGUGCUUGGGAUUUCGACGUGAAAUCGAAAGAUUUCUUACCUAAAAUGGGUGUGGUUGAGUUCGUAUAGUCCUCACGAGCACGAUGGUACCUUCACAACCUUCGAUCCGUGCUUGUAGGCUUGGUGGUGAGUGUGUCCGUACAAGUCGAGAGUGAAAGAGUGAGAGAAAGCCGUGAGGGAGGAGAGAGGCAGCACGGGGGAAGGAAAGGGUUGAGGUUGACCCGUGUGUGUGUUGUGUGGUCCAACAA
rnacentral:lncRNA from 1 species